GAUGAACGCUGGCGGCGUGCCUAAUACAUGCAAGUCGAGCGAACGGACGAGAAGCCUGCUUCUCUGAUGUUAGCGGCGGACGGGUGAGUAACACGUGGAUAACCUACCUAUAAGACUGGGAUAACUUCGGGAAACCGGAGCUAAUACCGGAUAAUAUUUUGAACCGCAUGGUUCAAAAGUGAAAGACGGUCUUGCUGCCACUUAUAGAUGGAUCCGCGCUGCAUUAGCUAGUUGGUAAGGUAACGGCUUACCAAGGCAACGAUGCAUAGCCGACCUGAGAGGGUGAUCGGCCACACUGGAACUGAGACACGGUCCAGACUCCUACGGGAGGCAGCAGUAGGGAAUCUUCCGCAAAGGGCGAAAGCCUGACGGAGCAACGCCGCGUGAGUGAUGAAGGUCUUCGGAUCGUAAAACUCUGUUAUUAGGGAAGAACAUAUGUGUAAGUAACUGUGCACAUCUUGACGGUACCUAAUCAGAAAGCCACGGCUAACUACGUG
rnacentral:rRNA from 1 species